CACCCCCCCACCCCUGAACCCACCUCUGAGGAAGUGCAAACCUCUGACCUGGAAUACAAAUCAGAUGUGGACCUUUUGGGAGUGAUUAGUUUGAGAAGGCCUGUCUUAAAGGAUUCAAGGUAUCCCGAGCGUGAGGAGUAGGCGCUGUAAAGCUGCUCGUCCUGCCGCAGCCAAUGUCAACAGCCCAGUGCAUAACUUCCCAUGAGCCUUUUCCCCUAGAAGGUAACUGGGAAGCUGC